rnacentral:rRNA from 1 species
UACGGGGGGAGCAAGCGUUGUUCGGAUUUACUGGGCGUAAAGGGCGCGUAGGCGGCGUGACAAGUCACUUGUGAAAUCUCCGGGCUUAACCCGGAGCGGCCAAGUGAUACUGUCGUGCUAGAGGGCGGAAGGGGCUACUGGAAUUCUCGGUGUAGCGGUGAAAUGCGUAGAUAUCGAGAGGAACACCUGCGGCGAAGGCGGGUAGCUGGGCCGACACUGACGCUGAGGCGCGAAAGCUAGGGGAGCAAACAGG